rnacentral:tRNA from 1 species
GAAGGUAUAGCUCAAGUGGUAGGGCACAUGCUUAGCAUGCAUGAGGUUCUGAGUUCAAUCCCCAGUACCUCCA